AACGUAGGACGCAAGCGUUAUCCGGAGUUACUGGGCGUAAAGGGCGGGCAGGCGGUUCGUCAAGUGGGGUGUGAAAGCUCCCAGCUUAACUGGGAGAGGCCAUUCCAAACUGACGGACUGGAGGGCAGCAGAGGUAGGCGGAAUUCCAGGUGUAGCGGUGAAAUGCGUAGAUAUCUGGAGGAACACCGGUGGCGAAGGCGGCAUCCUGGACCGGCAUUGACGCUGAGGCGCGAAAGCUAGGGGAGCAAACGGG
rnacentral:rRNA from 1 species